rnacentral:rRNA from 1 species
CACUCUUAAGAUUGAGCUGUGAUGGGGAGAGGAAAUUGUUUCCUCGAGUCGUUGAUUUCACACUGCCGAGAAAAGCCUCUAGAUAGAGAUUAGGUGCCCGUACCGCAAACCGACACAGGUAGUCAAGAUGAGAAUUCUAAGGUGAGCGAGCGAACUCUCGUUAAGGAACUCGGCAAAAUGACCCCGUAACUUCGGGAGAAGGGGUGCUCUUUAGGGUGCAAGCCCAGAAGAGCCGCAGUGAAUAGGCCCAAGCGACUGUUUAUCAAAAACACAGGUCUCUGCUAAACCGUAAGGUGAUGUAUAGGGGCUGACGCCUGCCCGGUGCUGGAAGGUUAAGAGGAGUGGUUAGCUUCUGCGAAGCUACGAAUCGAAGCCCCAGUAAACGGCGGCCGUAACUAUAACGGUCCUAAGGUAGCGAAAUUCCUUGUCGGGUAAGUUCCGACCCGCACGAAAGGCGUAACGAUUUGGGCACUGUCUCAACGAGAGACUCGGUGAAAUCAUAGUACCUGUGAAGAUGCAGGUUACCCGCGACAGGACGGAAAGACCCCGUGGAGCUUUACUGUAGCCUGAUAUUGAAAUUCGGCACAGCUUGUACAGGAUAGGUAGGAGCCUUUGAAACGUGAGCGCUAGCUUACGUGGAGGCGUUGGUGGGAUACUACCCUAGCUGUGUUGGCUUUCUAACCCGCACCACUUAUCGUGGUGGGAGACAGUGUCAGGCGGGCAGUUUGACUGGGGCGGUCGCCUCCUAAAAGGUAACGGAGGCGCUCAAAGGUUCCCUCAGAAUGGUUGGAAAUCAUUCAUAGAGUGUAAAGGCAUAAGGGAGCUUGACUGCGAGACCUACAAGUCGAGCAGGGUCGAAAGACGGACUUAGUGAUCCGGUGGUUCCGCAUGGAAGGGCCAUCGCUCAACGGAUAAAAGCUACCCCGGGGAUAACAGGCUUAUCUCCCCCAAGAGUUCACAUCGACGGGGAGGUUUGGCACCUCGAUGUCGGCUCAUCGCAUCCUGGGGCUGUAGUCGGUCCCAAGGGUUGGGCUGUUCGCCCAUUAAAGCGGUACGCGAGCUGGGUUCAGAACGUCGUGAGACAGUUCGGUCCCUAUCCGUCGUGGGCGUAGGAAAUUUGAGAGGAGCUGUCCUUAGUACGAGAGGACCGGGAUGGACAUACCUCUGGUGUACCAGUUGUCGUGCCAACGGCAUAGCUGGGUAGCUAUGUAUGGACGGGAUAAGUGCUGAAAGCAUCUAAGCAUGAAGCCCCCCUCAAGAUGAGAUUUCCCAACUUCGGUUAUAAGAUCCCUCAGAGAUGAUGAGGUUAAUAGGUUCGAGGUGGAAGCGUGGUGACACGUGGAG